rnacentral:piRNA from 1 species
UGCACAACACACUUAGUCGCCUAUAUGAGA